rnacentral:rRNA from 1 species
UACGUAGGGCGCGAGCGUUUGUCCGGAAUUAUUGGGCGUAAAGAGCUCGUAGGCGGCCGGUUGCGUCUGCUGUGAAAUCCCGGGGCUUAACCCCGGGCGUGCAGUGGAUACGGGCCGGCUGGAGGCAGGCAGGGGAGAAUGGAAUUCCCGGUGUAGCGGUGAAAUGCGCAGAUAUCGGGAGGAACACCGGUGGCGAAGGCGGUUCUCUGGGGCCUGUACUGACGCUGAGGAGCGAAAGCGUGGGGAGCGAACAGG